GAAUAAGCAUCGGCUAACUCCGUGCCAGCAGCCGCGGUAAUACGGAGGAUGCGAGCGUUAUCCGGAUUUAUUGGGUUUAAAGGGUGCGUAGGCUGUUAUUCAAGUCAGUGGUAAAAGGUACAGGCUUAACUUGUAUGCGCCAUUGAUACUGAAUAGCUAGGAUAUGGAUGAAGUGUGCGGAAUGUGUGGUGUAGCGGUGAAAUGCAUAGAUAUCACACAGAACACCGAUAGCGAAGGCAGCACACUAAGGCAAUAUUGACGCUGAGGCACGAAAGUGUGGGGAUCAAACAGGAUUAGAUACCCUGGUAGUCCACACUGUAAACGAUGAUAACUAGCUGUUGGCGAUAGAAUGUCAGGAGCGAAGCGAAAGCGAUAAGUUAUCCACCUGGGGAGUACGGCCGCAAGGUUGAAACUCAAAGGAAUUGACGGGGGCCCGCACAAGCGGAGGAACAUGUGGUUUAAUUCGAUGAUACGCGAGGAACCUUACCCGGGCUCGAACGGUGCAGUAAUAUGGUAGAGAUAUCAUAGCUAGCAAUAGACUGUAUCGAGGUGCUGCAUGGUUGUCGUCAGCUCGUGCCGUGAGGUGUAGGCUUAAGUGCCAUAACGAGCGCAACCCUUGUUGUUAGUUGCCAUCAGGUAAAGCUGGGGACUCUAGCGAGACUGCCACCGUAAGGUGCGAGGAAGGGGGGGAUGACGUCAAAUCAGCACGGCCCUUACGUCCGGGGCGACACACGUGUUACAAUGGUGGAUACAGAGGGGCGCUACCCAGAGAUGGGAUGCGAAUCUCUAAAGUCCAUCUCAGUUCGGAUUGGAGUCUGCAACUCGACUCCAUGAAGUUGGAUUCGCUAGUAAUCGCGCAUCAGCCAUGGCGCGGUGAAUACGUUCCCGGGCCUUGUACACACCGCCCGUCAAGCCAUG
rnacentral:rRNA from 1 species